GGUUGAAAUUCCAACAGAUAGAAUCAAGCAAGCACGAGCUGUGUCUGCUUCGAUCGAACACACUUCCAGUCCAUUCAUCCAGGCUGCCAAUGGUUUAGCACGAGAAGAUGCAACAGCGAGUCCUGGAAUCAAUGUCUUAUCACCGACUUCAAUUCCUAGAAGAUCCAAAUCUAGACUUGCACCAAACAUAAAUCUUGUUUCCAGUGAUGAGGCUUCCUCACGAACAGCUGAGUAAGGUAAUUGGACAAAUGCCCAUUUCUCCCCAAACAGAUUCUCAGGAAGUUCCAUUGGGAAAGGAUUAUCCAAAG
rnacentral:misc_RNA from 1 species